UUAGCUGACUGGAGUACUUGCAGCAGAUGCAGUGAUCUGGGACUCAGACACAGUAAUUAUUACCUGUCCUGGUUUGAGGUUUUCUUCUGAGUAAAGUGUGCACCAAAAUUUUCAAGCAUUGUCUCACAUGCAGGGAGUGCUCUAUUGCCCCAAAACUUCAUGCAGGAAGCUUACCAGGCACAGGAAAAUGAGUGGAGGAGUCCAAUUUGUUCCAGUGAAGUUCCACACUGCAGGACUGAAGAUGUUUCUUCAGUUCUUAGAUGGUGGGUGACUGGCUUGCUUCAAGAGUGAAGAAGAUAUUGCAGGAAUGCCGUGUGACAGCAGCGUGAAUCACUGGACUUGCUGCUUCUGGAGCAACGAUUGACUCAGGGGAUUCUGCUUUUUGUGAGGCUGCUGUUAUCUCCCAGCACCUGUCCUCAGACAUUGAGCUGUUGUGUCAGUGGCACUGAAUACAAAUGAUCCAGAGCUAACAGAUAGAAAAAGAAUCUUCAAACUGAGGAAAGGCAACUAGCAAUUAAAAAAAAAAAAGCCAACAAAAUGACAAACCACCCCUCAGUAAACUAUCUAGUUUUUCAGUUAAACUCAUGAGGAAAAGAAAUUUAUUUUGCUUCUGGAAAAAGCAAUCCUCCCUCAGAUCCUCUCUUUCUAAGAUUUUGCGUGCAGCAGCACAGCCUAUGCCAGAAGAGGCGACGGAUUCUUUUAGACCACUUUGAGAGGAGCAGUAAAUUUCGGUUCCCAAACCUGCUCCGAUGUGGAAGUUCUGAGCCACAGAAAAACCUUACACAGUUCAUGGACAUGGGCUGUCUGCUGGAAGAACUGCCAGGAAUGAUAAAAAUGAUAAUAAAUUUGCUUUUAC